rnacentral:rRNA from 1 species
AUUGAACGCUGGCGGCAGGCUUAACACAUGCAAGUCGAGCGGGGGAAGGUAGCUUGCUACCGGACCUAGCGGCGGACGGGUGAGUAAUGCUUAGGAAUCUGCCUAUUAGUGGGGGACAACAUCUCGAAAGGGAUGCUAAUACCGCAUACGUCCUACGGGAGAAAGCAGGGGAUCUUCGGACCUUGCGCUAAUAGAUGAGCCUAAGUCGGAUUAGCUAGUUGGUGGGGUAAAGGCCUACCAAGGCGACGAUCUGUAGCGGGUCUGAGAGGAUGAUCCGCCACACUGGGACUGGGACCCGGCCCAGACUCCUACGGGAGGCAGCAGUGGGGAAUAUUGGACAAUGGGGGGAACCCUGAUCCAGCCAUGCCGCGUGUGUGAAGAAGGCCUUAUGGUUGUAAAGCACUUUAAGCGAGGAGGAGGCUACUCUAGUUAAUACCUAGGGAUAGUGGACGUUACUCGCAGAAUAAGCACCGGCUAACUCUGUGCCAGCCGCCGCAGUAAGAC